UCUCUAGAUUUCCACUCUGGUCUGCUCCUGUGUGCUCUUGUCCUGCCUCCUUCACCUUUUACUUCUUGAGAUAAAAUCUUAAAAAUCAAUUUAUGAAGGAGCUGGAUUAUUCUAAAGCUAAGCAAGACCAAAGUCCUACUGGUUGUCAUUGGAAAGCACUCUGACGGACCAGCAGUCUCCGUGAGCAGAAGGCACAGAGCCACGUUCGCCGGUUUGGCCGGGACCUCAGGACUGUGGACUCCUUGGGGCUCAUGGGAUACUUCUGAAGUGUCUGCAAAAGUACAUCAUAAUCAGGCAUGUCAAGUGGGGUCAGGCUGGAAUACACAGCUGGAGGAACAGGAAGAAGAAAUUUGUGAGAGCAAGUGCACGGGAAGAAAGCAGGGCUGCUAUGAAAGGACACAAAAGAGGACUUGGAGACUGUGUGAAGAAUGUGUUAGAAAUGGACUGGAGGUCUGCUAUUUUUACCAAAGGACCUUUGAGAGAAGAGUGCUUUACAGUAAAGACCAGCUGUUGCUCGUGGUCUUAAUUCUGGAUCUGAAACUUCCUGCCUGGUUCCGUGAGCCUCAAAGCAGCAAGAAGAGAAAAGAGCUGCAGGCUCCAUACAGUGAGAUGUCAAGGAGACGGGUGCAAGAUCAACAUGCCAUAGAACCAAAUUUCCAGCAAAAGCACAGUGUCUCCGUACGUGUCCACAGGCCAGGGGCGUAACAAGAUUGAUGCUCAGCCAAGGGGUGGGUACCAAGAGGUACAUGGGGUGCCUGACACCCGUCUGCCUGCUCCCUGUGGAGAUCUAGCAUCUCUGCUACUCCGGGUCUGUCAUUUUGCACAGCAUAAGGGGCAACGGAGAGACUUUGCUGGAUUUCUCUCUUUUAGAGGACGUUUGGAAGGAUCUAAUAUUUCCUUGUGCGGGAUAAACUCGUCCUGACGUCCCUUCCCGCUGCCCUGUGCCAUCCCCGGCCCUGUCCCUGCCCUGCCGCUUCCCUCUCCCCUCAGGCGGGCCCUCGCCCUCAGCCCCGGCUUCCCCGGCGGCACCGGGCCCUCACGGCGCCCUCUGCCCCCGGUCCCUGCGGCUCCUCAGCCGCCCGCCAUGCCGGCCCAGGACCCCGGCCGCAUCCCCUCACCCUCCCCGCGGCUCUGCGUCGCCUCCCCCUUCCCUCCGCUCUCCUCCUCCCCUCAGGCAGCCGCACGCACCGCACUCUCCCUCACUCUCACACGCACACACACACACACGCACACCCGCACAGGCGAUGCAGCUUUAAAGGGACCA
rnacentral:lncRNA from 1 species